UAGAAUCAUGACACCUUAAAAUAUAGAAGGUUAAAUAAGACUUCUCUCCGUUAGUCACAUCUUAUAUUGUCAAGCUUUAGAGGGAAAAGACUCAGGUGGUGGCAAAUGAAGCCGAUAUAUUAUUAUGUUUCAUUGCAACAUUUCGUAUUUACUAAGUUUAUGGAUCAAAAAACGAGAUUCGAGUUUCUUUCUGCAUUAUGUGAUAGCAUUGUGCCGUUUCUAACUUACUUCUCCCAUCUGCAAAUCUUCACAGUUGGGAGGCUGCCUCUGAUCUUGAACAUGACUUUGUUUCUUAUAAUCUGACUGUGUGAUGUUUAGUUGAUUGGAUUCUUAAUGAAGAAGUUUUUCUACCUACGAUAAAAUCAUUAAGGUUUGAGACAGAUCUGAGGUACAACACAAACGGACAAGCUUUUUGCGUAUCUGUGUUCCAGUAGAGACUCUCGAGUCAACCACCUUAUUUACCUCUAUUGUGUUAAUAAAGAAUUAUUCUAAACUUCACCCAAGAUAAUCAAGUCGUUUUAUUUAUUUGUUGGUAUUGAUUUGGAUAUUUGAAUAAUCAAAAUUAAAUGUUCACGGGCC